ACGCACCGCUUUCUGUUUUUCCUGAGCCUUUGCCUGCUAAGAGGGAGACCAGGUCAUGGCAGCCAUGCCUCUGAAAGCUCAAUACCAGGAGAUGGUGACCUUCGAGGAUGUGGCUGUGCACUUCACCAAGACAGAAUGGACUGGCCUUUCUCCUGCCCAGAGGGCCCUGUACAGAAGUGUGAUGUUGGAGAAUUUUGGGAACCUGACUGCUUUGGGUAAGGCCAUUUUCCUCCUAGGACUCAGAUCUGUACUUUUCCAGUUUCCUUCCUUCUUUUACAGCCUGGGGGGAGGAGUGUGGAGUGGAGAGGAGAGGUUGUCUCUUGUGUCCUCCACUGAGUGACUGCAGAGCUGAGGCUCAGUGACCAACUUCAAAGAUUGCUGGGUAGGGAGAGGUCUUGGGUCACUUUGGUCUCCCAAUGAAGGGAAUUACUGUCCCCUGGUAAGAGUAUGUUCCAUCUUCCAAGAGGCUCUGCACAGUAAGGAAUAAGUAGUAGUUGUUGUCUGGGGAAGGGCAUGUCCCCUUCCCUGUGUUUGCUCAUGCCUUGUGGAUCUCACUGACUUACUUAUCCUUGAGUGUUUUUUUUAGGAAGAAGUCACAAAUGCUCAGUUUCCUGUUGAUCGGAAUCUCUUUGGCCUUCUCCAGUCGAGAACCCUCUUCUGUGGGUCUUAUUCUUACUGAGACUCCUGGGGUUUUCCUUCUUUUGACACAGCAGAUACAGGGCUGAAAAGUACCAUUUUCUUCCUGUUUUCAGGGUACCCAGUUCCCAAACCUGCACUGAUCUCACUUUUGGAGAGAGGGGACAUGGCUUGGGGCCUGGAAGCACAGGAUGAUCCCCCAGCAGAGAGGACCAAAAACGUCUGUAAAGGUAGGUGA
rnacentral:lncRNA from 1 species